rnacentral:rRNA from 1 species
GAUGAACGCUGGCGGCGUGCCUAAUACAUGCAAGUCGAGCGAACGGACGAGAAGCUUGCUUCUCUGAUGUUAGCGGCGGACGGGUGAGUAACACGUGGAUAACCUACCUAUAAGACUUGGAUAACUUCGGGAAACCGGAGCUAAUACCGGAUAAUAUUUUGAACCGCAUGGUUCAAAAGUGAAAGACGGUCUUGCUGUCACUUAUAGAUGGAUCCGCGCUGCAUUAGCUAGUUGGUAAGGUAACGGCUUACCAAGGCAACGAUGCAUAGCCGACCUGAGAGGGUGAACGGGGACACUGGAACUGAGACACGGUCCAGACUCCUACGGGAGGCAGCAGUAGGGAAUCUUCCGCAAUGGGCGAAAGCCUGACGGAGCAACGCCGCGUGAGUGAUGAAGGUCUUCGGAUCGUAAAACUCUGUUAUGAGGGAAGAACAUAUGUGUAAGUAACUGUGCACAUCUUGACGGUACCUAAUCAGAAAGCCACGGCUAACUACGUG